CCCGCUGAGUUUAAGCAUAUCAAUAAGCGGAGGAAAAGAAACUAACUAGGAUUCCCUUAGUAAUGGCGAGCGAACCGGGAAGAGCCCAGCUUGAAAAUCGGACGUCUUCGGCGUUCGAAUUAUACUCUGGAGAAGCGUCCUCAGCGAUGGACCGGGGCCAAUUCCCUGGAAAGGGGCGCCAGAGAGGGUGAGAGCCCCGUCGUGCCCGGACCCUGUCGCACAACGAGGUGCUGUCUACGAGUUGGGUUGUUUGGGAAUGCAGCCGCAAUCGGGCGGUAAAUUCCGUCCAAGGCUAAAUAUGGGCGAGAGACCGAUAGCGAACAAGUACCACGAGGUAAAGAUGAAAAGAACUUUGAAAAGAGAGUCACAGAGUGCUUGAAAUUGUCAGGGAGGAAGCGGAUGGGAGCCGGCGAUUCAUCCCAGUCGGAUGCGGGACGGAGCAAUCCGGUCUGCCGAUCGAUUCGGGGCAUGGACCUACGUGGAUUAAGGUGGUGACAUAAGCCUAGGCUUUUGUUACGCACGCGGACACGUCGCUGCCUUGAUCGUGGUCUGCAGCUCGCGCCUCACGGCGUGCCUCGACAUCUGCGUGCUCAGGGCGUGGGCCUGUGGGCUCCCCAUUCGACCCGUCUUGAAACACGG
rnacentral:ncRNA from 1 species